CUGGUUUGAAAUUGUAUGUCAUGACCAGGUUAGUAUUCAGGAGAGAGAAAGAAAGAAGGGACUGGGGAAAGGGAGGGAAAAAGAAGAUGGGGGCAGAUAGAACGCAUAUGAACACACACAGACCACACACUACACACACACGCAAACAUCACACACCCGUCACAUACACACCACAUGCCACACAUACACAUACACACCUACCACACAUCACAUACACACCACAUGCCACACACAUCUACCACACACAAUCACAUACACACAUGCCACACACAUACACACCUACCACACACAUCACAUACACACACACACCACACACACACACCUACCACACACAUUCACAUACACACCAUACACCACACACACCUACCACACACAUCACAUACACACACACUACAUGCCACACACACACCUACCACACACACAUCACACGAAUACACCACACUCCACACACACCACACACAAUCGCAUACACACUACAUGCCACACACACAUACACACCUACUAAUCACAUACACACACUAUAUGCCACACACACACACCUGUCACACACACCCCCACACACUCCCCCACAUACAUAUACCACACACACACCCCCACACAUACCACACACAUCAUGCCUCCCACACCCCCACAUACACACACUACACACAUCCCACAUACAUACCAUACAAACCUACACCACACACCCACUACACACACACCACACACAUUCCUCCACACCCCCACAUAUAUAUACUACACACACCACACACAUAUAUACCAUAUACACACCUACCACACACGCAUAACACACCCACACACACUAAUCACACCCUCAUAACCUGCCACGCCUGCACACCUCCAAAUCCAUACACAUUUACACAAGGACACACUUACAUGCCCUCCCCCAUCCUUACAGCACCCACACCUUUGUACAUAACAUACCCACACCCCCACCAUACACCACAUACACACACCACACACCACACACUCCCCAUAAACACACCACACAUAUACACACACAUGCACACCCACACACUGCACACACUAUAAACACCCGCACACAUACCACACACACACUCCCACAUCCCCAUGCCUCCCACCACACACACACACACAAACCCGCAUCCCCCCAUACCUCCCACACCACACACACACACACACACACA
rnacentral:lncRNA from 1 species